UACAGAGGGUGCAAGCGUUGUUCGGAAUUAUUGGGCGUAAAGCGCGUGUAGGCGGUCGGGCAAGUCGGAUGUGAAAGCCCAGGGCUCAACCCUGGAAGUGCACUCGAUACUGCUCGGCUAGAGUCCCGGAGAGGAUGGUGGAACUCUCGGUGUAGAGGUGAAAUUCGUAGAUAUCGAGAAGAACACCGGUGGCGAAGGCGGCCAUCUGGACGGUGACUGACGCUGAGACGCGAAAGCGUGGGGAGCAAACAGG
rnacentral:rRNA from 1 species